rnacentral:rRNA from 1 species
GAACGAACGCUGGCGGCAUGCCUAACACAUGCAAGUCGAACGAUGCCUUCGGGCAUAGUGGCGCACGGGUGCGUAACGCGUGGGAAUCUGCCCUUGGGUUCGGAAUAACUCAGAGAAAUUUGAGCUAAUACCGGAUGAUGACGUAAGUCCAAAGAUUUAUCGCCCAAGGAUGAGCCCGCGUAAGAUUAGCUAGUUGGUGGGUAAAGGCCUACCAAGGCGACGAUCUUUAGCUGGUCUGAGAGGAUGAUCAGCCACACUGGGACUGAGACACGGCCCAGACUCCUACGGGAGGCAGCAGUGGGGAAUAUUGGACAAUGGGCGAAAGCCUGAUCCAGCAAUGCCGCGUGAGUGAUGAAGGCCUUAGGGUUGUAAAGCUCUUUUACCAGGGAUGAUAAUGACAGUACCUGGAGAAUAAGCUCCGGCUAACUCCGUG